GGAUUAGAUACCCUGGUAGUCCACGCCGUAAACGAUGAGUACUAGCUAUUGGAGGUAUUGACCCCUUCAGUGGCGCAGCUAACGCAUUAAGUACUCCGCCUGGGAAGUACGGUCGCAAGACUAAAACUCAAAGGAAUUGACGGGGGCCCGCACAAGCGGUGGAUUAUGUGGUUUAAUUCGAAGCAACGCGCAGAACCUUACCUAGGCUUGAAAUCCUCAGAAUUCGACGUAAUUGUUGAAGUGCCCGCAAGGGAAUUGAGUGACAGGCGCUGCAUGGCUGUCGUCAGCUCGUGCUG
rnacentral:rRNA from 1 species